rnacentral:misc_RNA from 1 species
GUGGGAGGGGGCUUGCCCCCGAUAGCAGUGUGUCAGCCAACCAAUGCUUAGCUGGCUCACCGCAAUCGGGGGCAAGCCCCCUCCCAC